AGAGUUUUCUAGUAGAAUAUUACUCUCCAUUCUCCCAAACUCUCUCUCUCAAACCCUUCUUCUUUCUAAGAGGUCUAGCUUGUAAUGCUAAAUUGGUAGGCUGACCCAAAAAUGUCUGUGGGCAAGCAAAGCUUCUAAGUAUCACAUGGUUGCUUGAGAAAUAAUAAGCCGGUGACAUAGGAGAGCCACAAACAAAAGGGUCGAAAAGAACAUUCAAGAAGAAGGAGAAAAGAGGAAAUAAGUGUUGAGAGAUAGAUCUCAAGUCCCUCUCAUAGAUUAGGAUUGAAUGCAUGCUCGAAAUAGACUCUGCAUGCUUUGCUUGGAGAUGCCUUAUUUGUUUCUACCAUGCUUAAUAACAGAUCUUCAUGUCUAGGCACCAUCCUAUCGCAGCGACAUACAAUGUGGAAACAAAGUCAAUCCAAGAGGGCCAGACAUGAAGUUGCUUCUGAUCUCAACUUUAGGAGGCUCAUUCGAGCUUUUGAGCUUUGAAUCGAAGAGGACUUUGUAUUCAUCAUCUGGUUUAAAGAAUAAAAAGUGAGGUCUACUUCUAAAGUUCUACAUGGUUCUAAAGUUAAAUCCAUCGAAAAAGAUGCAGAAAGUAUAAACAGCUCCAAGAUGCAUGCCAAGCGAGCAUUUUUUAUUUAAAUUUCAGUGAUACUGAAAGUUGCAAAUCAUAGUUAGGGAAAUCAACCUACAGAUUGGCUAACGAAUUAUAAUGUUUGAACAGUGAACACUCGAAGUAGUUCUCAUAUUAUGUUCAAAGCAUGCAACUCAAGUUGGAAGUCAUGCACUCAAAAGCUAAGCAACUUUUAAAGAGUUUUAAAGUCCCCCAACUUAUAUAUCUCAAAACAAUCAAUAACUUCCAUCAAGCUACCUUCUAAAAAGAAAUAUUAAAA